rnacentral:rRNA from 1 species
AUUGAACGCUAGCGGGAUGCCUUACACAUGCAAGUCGAACGGCAGCGCGGACUUCGGUCUGGCGGCGAGUGGCGAACGGGUGAGUAAUGUAUCGGAACGUGCCCAGUAGCGGGGGAUAACUACUCGAAAGAGUAGCUAAUACCGCAUACGCCCUACGGGGGAAAGGGGGGGAUCGCAAGACCUCUCACUAUUGGAGCGGCCGAUAUCGGAUUAGCUAGUUGGUGAGGUAAAGGCUCACCAAGGCGACGAUCCGUAGCUGGUUUGAGAGGACGACCAGCCACACUGGGACUGAGACACGGCCCAGACUCCUACGGGAGGCAGCAGUGGGGAAUUUUGGACAAUGGGGGCAACCCUGAUCCAGCCAUUCCGCGUGUGCGAUGAAGGCCUUCGGGUUGUAAAGCACUUUUGGCAGGAAAGAAAUCGCACGGAUUAAUACUCUGUGUGGAUGACGGUACCUGCAGAAUAAGCACCGGCUAACUACGUGCCAGCAGCCGCCGUAA